rnacentral:lncRNA from 1 species
CUUUUCUAGGGCCGCUUCCUGUGGCAUAUGGAGGUUCCCAGCUUAGGGGUCCAAUCAGAGCUGUAGCCGCCGGUCUAUACCAGAGCCACAGCAAUGUGGGAUCCGAGCCGUGUCUGCAACCUACGCCACAGCUCACGGCAACACCGGAUCCUUAACCCACUGAGCAAGGCCAGGGAUUGAACCCACAACCUCAUGGUUCCCUGUAGGAUUUGUUAACCACUGCGCCACAACGGGAACUCCACAUCAUCUAUUUUUGUCAUGGGUUGAUACCCAAAAGAUUUCCAAUUUAAAAUACAUCCCAACAGACCACAGUCAGGAACAGCAAUGCCAUUCUCAGGAGCCGACUCAUGUGAGUUUAAGAUUCCAAAGUUUGCUCAUCCUAAGCCUAAAACUAGUUUUGACUACAGUUGCUGAGGAACUCAGUUUCACCUAAUUUUUUAACAGAUAAGCCAAUCAGACAUAGAGGACAGGACAAAACAUAAACCCUAGGACCCAGAGGUGAAACCAGCCUAGAGACCAAGGGUCCAAGACUCGAACCCAACCUUGGCAGUCAGUUUCUGCCACUGGGAAGAGUGAUUUCAGGAAACCCUAUCCACACCUGUGUUCCCUGCACCCAGAAGUCUCUCGUUUUCUAUUAUAAAGGAACUCAACCUUCCCCAGUCACAGAAAAGGUGGCUGCCAAACCCAGAAGUCGCUAGUUUUCCACCAGAAGGAAUGCAACCUCCCAGUGGUAGAACUCAGAACCCCUGGGCUCGAACCCAGGGUGAAACGAGGAUCCCAACCCCAGUUGUGUGCGUCUUAAAUUCUGCUUUAAUCAAACGGGAGACUACUGCGAUAUCCGUACUUAUUACAGCAGCAGUUCUGGAUGCUACUCACCUGCCCCCCAACACCUCGGAAGUCUGAGGGUACUGAACAAAUCCGUUCAGGUCGCCACUUUGCCCACAGAGAGCCAGCUGGUGAGCAGUCUCUGAACCAGUAGACACCCAGCAGAUCCAUGUCUGACCAAGAGAACUCAACCAACAUGAGAAGACAACAAGUCCACUUCACUCCAGUGUGGCCAGCUCACUUUGUCCCUCCUCAGGGCACAUGCCCUACCAGGGUCACCAGAAAUUGUUGCUGGAUUCAACGGAUCCAUCUUUUGGAGUGCUCAGCCGAUGAACACACCAAGUGUAUCCCAUGAAAGCAGAAGCAUUUAUUACUGGUCACAAGUAAGGAGACAGGGAGAUAGCUUUCAAAGCAUUAUCUGGUUAACAGCAGGCGCUCAAUAAACGUUGCAUGAAUCAGUGUAUGAGCUGCCUUAGGACAGCAUCGAUGUGCCUAUGAGGCGGUCAUGGGUAGCACCUGUCGAGCUUCUGGCCUCAGUGUGGUCCAGAAGACGCUUCUUUGUGCCUGUGACUAUUUUCUCUGCAAAACGCAGGGAUUAGAAACAAAAGUCCCCAAUAAAGCUCAAAUUAUAGGAUUCUUGAGAAGGUGUCUGAAUGCAGGGCCCUCCAAACGAGCCAUCAGACAAUUGAGAAACAGGGGAAAUCACGUCUCCUGAAGCUUGUCGGAAGAGCCAGGUGGCAGGCCAAGUAGGGGUGGACAGAUAACAGACAGCAAAUGUCAGGUGGCGAUGGUGCCACAGCAGUUAGAGCCUCGAGCCUGAAGCUUGCAGCUCAGGCUUUUCUCUCGCUAGCUGCGCUGCACCGCGCACCUGGCUUAACCUUCUGAACUUACGUUUUAUAUUGGGGAUUGCGAGGGUGGGAUCAGGACUGCACCUCCGUGGCCCAGGGGUUGAGGGGACUGAAGGAAACCAUGCAGGUGGCCCAGAGUCGCCCUUGGCAAUGGCUCCGCGGGAGGCGUGACGCGGCGACAGC